CCGAGUGCCAGCAUCAUAUGCUGGCUGUCCAGAUGUGUAAACUACAUCUGUUAGCAAGGGCCGGGCAAGACCGGUGCCAGCCGCCGCGGUAACACCGGCGGCCCGAGUGGUGACCGUUAUUAUUGGGUCUAAAGGGUCCGUAGCCGGUUUGGUCAGUCCUCCGGGAAAUCUGAUAGCUUAACUGUUAGGCUUUCGGGGGAUACUGCCAGGCUUGGAACCGGGAGAGGUAAGAGGUACUACAGGGGUAGGAGUGAAAUCUUGUAAUCCCUGUGAGACCACCUGUGGCGAAGGCGUCUUACCAGAACGGGUUCGACGGUGAGGGACGAAAGCUGGGGGCACGAACCGGAUUAGAUACCCGGGUAGUCCCAGCCGUAAACUAUGCUCGCUAGGUGUCAGGCAUGGCGCGACCGUGUCUGGUGCCGCAGGGAAGCCGUGAAGCGAGCCACCUGGGAAGUACGGCCGCAAGGCUGAAACUUAAAGGAAUUG
rnacentral:rRNA from 1 species